UACAGAGGUCUCAACCGUUGUUCGGAUUCAUUGGGCGUAAAGGGUGCGUAGGCGGCGGGGUAAGUCAGGUGUGAAAUCUCGGGGCUCAACCCCGAAACUGCACUUGAUACUGCCUCGCUUGAGUACUGGAGAGGAGACUGGAAUUUACGGUGUAGCAGUGAAAUGCGUAGAGAUCCGGAGGAACACCAGUGGCGAAGGCGACACGCUGGGCCGUACCUGACACUGAGGUGCGAAAGCGUGGGGAGCGAACAGG
rnacentral:rRNA from 1 species